UCGUGAUCCGCCCACCUCGGCCUCCCAGAGUGCUGGGAUUACAGGCUUGAGCCACCGCGCCCGGCCGAGGCAUGUUUGUUGAGUGAGAAAAUGAGUGAGUGACAAAAUGACAAAGAGGACUUGCUUUCCAGUGUUCCAGCUUAACAUGGACGUUCUGAAAAAAUGUCCCCUCUACACAUCGGACACAGCAAAUUAUGACACUUGCUUGGAGUUUGCACUGGAAAACUUUCCUGUUUCUACAUUUCAGGGGUGAAGUUUUAACUAUGGAAGAGAAAGUCCCUCGAAUGUGUAUCUUGGGGGUUCAUCUACUAAAGAGUUGACAUGGGAAAGAUGGUGGGUUUCAGGUCUCUGAACCCAAGUCUGUAUGUAUACAUCCAGAUGGCCUGAGGCAACCAAAAACUACAAAUGAAGUGAAACAGCCAGCUCCUGUCUUAACUGAUUCACCAACCUUACAACAUUCCAUUAUGACUUGUUCCUGCCCUGCCCCAGUUGAUCAAUCGAUCAACCUCGUGACAAUCUUCUGGACAAUAAGUCUUACGAUCUCCCCACCAUGAACCUUGUGACCCCCUCCUCUGCUGACAAUAGAUAACCUCUUUUAACUGUAACUUUCCACUGCUUACCCCAGUCCUAUAAAACUGCCCUACCCCUGUCUCUUUUUGCUGACUCCUUUUUCAGAUUCAGUUGGCCUGCACCCAGGUGAUUAAAAACCUUUAUUGCUCACACAAAGACUUUUUGGUGGUCUCUUCACACGGAUGUGCAUGACAUUUGGUGCCAAAGACCCAGGACGGGGGACUCCUUCGGGAGACCAGUUCCCUGUCCUCACCCUCACUCCAUGAGGAGAUCCACCUAUGACCUUGGGUCCUCAGAACAGCCAGUCCAAGGACAUCUCACCAAUUUUAAAUCGGACAGAGGAGAUGCGUUUUAUCCAUGAACUCAAAACUCUGGUGCUGGUCAUGAACUCAGGAACAGUCUUCCCUUGGUGUCUAAAUCACUGUAGAGAUGUCUGCCUGGUGAUUCACCCACAUUUCAGACGUAUCUGAUCACUGUCCGGAUGCCUGCCUUGAUCGUUCACCUUGGUGGCAAGUACCACCUCCUCUGGAUGGCAAGUACCACCUUCCCUGGGUGGCAAGUACCAUCCCCUCAUCUCCGUGUCUCUACCUUCUCUUUUCUCUGGGGUUGCCUCCUUCACUAUGGGCAAACUUCCACCCUCCAUUCCCCCUUCUUCCUUAGCCUGUGUUCUUCAAAACCUAAAACCCCUUUGACUAACACCUGACCUAAAACCUAAAUGCCUUAUUUUCUUCUGCAAUGCUGCUUGGCCCCAAUACAAACUUGACAAUGGUUCCAAAUAACCAGAAAAUGACACUUGAUUUCUCCAUCUUACAAGACCUGGAUGAUUUUUGUUGAAAAAUGGGCAAAAUGUCUGAGGUGCCUGACAUCCAGGCAUUCUCUUACACAUUGGUCUCUCCAUAGUCUCUGCUCCCAAUGUGACUCAUUCUAAAUCUUUCUUCUUUCUCUCCUGUCUCUUCCUUCAGUCUCCACCCCAAGCUCUGAGUCCUUUGAAUCCUCCUUUUCUAUGAACCCAUCUGACCUCUCCCCUUCCCACCAGGCUGCUCCUCAACAGGCCAAGUCCCAAUUCUUCCUCAGCCUCUGCUCCUCCACUGUAUAAUCCUUCUAUCACCUCCCCUCCUCACACCCGAUCCAGCUAACAGUUUCAGUCCGAGACUAGCCCUUCCCCCCCGCCCAACAAUUUCCUCUUAAAGAGGUGGCUGGAGCUGAAGGCAUAGUCAGGUGCCUUUUUCUCUAUUGGACCUCUCCCAUCAGUCACCUUUUAGGCUCUUUCUCAUCAGACCCCACUAAAUAUAUACAGGAAUUCCAAUAUUUAACUCAGUCCUACAAUUUAACCUGGAGGGACUUAAAUGUCCUCCUGACUUCUACCCUCUCCUGAGAUGAGCGGGAAACAGUUUAUACCAUAGCCCAAUCUCACACUGACACCCACUGGUGUCAUGAGCCAGACCUUCAAGAAGGCACAAGGGCAGUUCCCCAAGAGGAUCCCCAUUGCCAAUACAAGAUGGACUCCCCAGGUAUAACUAGGCGUUUCAACUUCUGUCACAACUUUCUGUAGCCUUUCUAAUGAUUUUUCUACUAGCAUUACAGAUAUAUCACAAACUUUAUCAGUCCUUCAGGCCCAGGUUGACUCCUUAGCUGUAGUCAUCCUCCAAAGUCGCUGAGGCCUUGACCUACUCACUGCUGAAAAAGGAGAACUCUGUAUAUUUUUAAAUGAAGAAUGUUAUUUUUAUCUAAACCAAUCUGGCCUGGUAUAUAACAAUAUAAAAAAAGCUUAAAGAUAAAGCCCAAAAUCUCACCACCCAGGCAAAUAAUUACUCUGGACCCAUGUAGACACUUUCUAACUGGGCAUCUUGGCUCCUCCCUAUUCUUAGUCCCCUGGUACCUGUUUUUCUCCUUCUCUAUUUAGGCCUUGUGUCUUGCAUUUGGUUUCUCAAUUCAUACAAAAACGUAUUGAGACCAUCACCAAUUAUUCUAUAUGACAAAUUUUACUUUUAACAAGUCCACGGUACCAUCAUCUGCCCCAAGAUCUCUCCACAGCCUAAAUUCCUAUUCCUUGCAACUCAUUAUAAAAUUUUCUUUAAGGUGUCCACACAUCCCCUAAUCCCGCUUGAAGCAACCCUGAGAAACAUCGCCCAUUAUCUCUCUGUACCACCCCCCAAGAAUUUUUGCUGCCCCAACACUUCACCUCUAUUAUGUUUUAUUUUUCUUAAAAUAAGAAGACAGGAAUGUCAGGCCUCUGGGCCCAAGCCUGCACGUGUACAUCCAGAUGGCUUGAGACAACUGAAAACUACAAAAGAAAUGAAACAGCCAGCUCCUGUCUUAACUUUCCACUGCUACGCCAGUCCUAUAAAACUGCCCCACCCCUAUCUCCCAUCGCUGACUCCUUUUUCAGACUCAGUUGGUCUGCACCCAAGUGAUUAAAAACCUUUAUUGCUCACACAAAGCCUGUUUGCUGGCCUCCUCACAAGGAUGCAUGUGAAAGUAGGGAAAUUAUUGCUUUUGCAGAGGGAAAAAAGAUGAAAUUACUGGGCAAAAAUUAGACAACAGAGCCCUCACUUGGGAGAACUAGAAUCUGAGAAACAAGCCUCAGGUAUGCAGGAAAGAUUGUCUAAGCCAGAGAGCUGACUGCUGUUGCUGGCCCUGUGGAGAUGAGCUCAUAAUUUUCCAUCCAGGGACGAGGCCCUGAACAGAGCAUCAGAUAAGGUUAGGCACAAAGGCUCAGCCAAAGUUCACAGUCCAUGUGGCACAUAGGACAUACUAUUUAGUGAAAUUAAAUAUUUAAUAAUUUUGUCAAAUCAUCCCCUUUAUAGUGAUUUUGCAUGUGAUUCUGACUUUGUGUAAAAAAUAAACCCACAAAUUCAUAUUGUGCUUAAAUAUCUGAGGUUAAUAGACAACCACUAUCUCAUCUCAGUUACAUCCACUCCCUGCUCAGACUCACCCACAAGACGCAACCUUCAAAGGAAAAGAAGUAAAGCAGGACACCUUUGUUCUGUAUCUCAAAGUGGCAAAAGAUGUCAUGGGGAGUAAGAGCUGUGGUAGAGCCAUGGGAAUAUCCUCAGGAAAUUUAGCAUUUUUUGGAGAGGCUUCAACAAGGUACAAAUGACCCAAUGGUAAAUACUUGGUUUCCCUAAUAAUAAUAAACUGAGUUUCAAAACUGUGCAGGAGGAAGGGAAAAAAGGCUAUUCAUGAGAUUUUGCUACAGAGAGGAAAUUUUACUCUCACGUCCACAGAUAACAAGCCACAAUCAGGGGCUUCUGUUCCUACUUUUAAUACUAAGUAUGACUGUACCUUCCUGGGAACCUACAUCGAGCAAAAAGGAAAUGCUCUUUAUGGUGCUCACAAUGUCUGCACAUCAAGUUGCUGAUCUACCUGAGAUUUGGGCUGUUCAACUGCAGCAAACUUGAGGUUCCUGAGAGUUAGCAAGAGAGCCCCAGGGUAAACUUUGCCAUGCUCUGGGUGAUGCCUACACACUGUUUCUGAACGUAUAAAACCUCAGACCUUCCUCCUGAGGAGAAGCAUUUUUACUGAUGGAACUAAGUUGCUCUUUGCAAUCAUAAGAAGCAAAAGACGAAGCUCAAAAACACUCACCUUACGGAAAGACAAAACAUUUCCGAAAAAAGGCAGAGGUGUGGGCCCUGGAAUUCCAAGCUUCUUAAAAAGUCCAUGUGAAUGGGUUCCAUAUCUACAAAGUGAAACAGAAAUCAGGCCACAGGGAUUGUGACUUUAUAGAUAUAGGGACUGGUGAGUCACUGACUGAGGAACUGGAAUGCGCAAGAGAGGGAGGUAACAUUAAGGCAAUAAAAGAUAACAGUAACUCUGACGACAAUGAUUAUGUUGUUCAUAAGGUCCUUUGGCACCUCCACCAUGAGACACCAAAAAGUUACAAUGAUUAGCUCAAAGCAGCAGAAGUCUUCAUGGUCCCAUUCCUGGAAUGAAUACUUGAUAAAUGUUCUCAAAUGUGAAUGAUCCUGAGAGGUUCAGGCAGGAAUUCCGCCAGGGCACUUCAUUCCCUUAUGCCUUUUUAGUAAGUGAACUCUUCCCUGAUUUUGGGAUUCUCAUUCUAGGUAGAAAGGGUGAAUUUUUUUUUCCUGCAGUGAUGAUGAGAUUUUGCAUCACUACAUCCACUCGGUCACAGGGGGUCACUGAGACCCUAUGGUGACCCUGUCUUUAGAAUUUGCUCAGAGUCAUUUAUGCUUUCCCUUCCCUCUAAGCUCUGACCCUGUUUUAGGAACUGGGCCUUCUUAAGCCGUCAUUCACAGAGAGGUGUUGGAGGAGUCACGGAGUCCUUAUUUCUACAGAUUGAUAACUGUGCUCCAGGCUUCCAUUGGCCUCGUAGAAAUGCGAGCACCUUUCAGCUACACUUAAGUCUCUGUGGUCAGAUGAUCUGGUUGAUUUGAGCUACUGGGGAGGAUGAUUGACUCAUAUUUCCCUGAAUGACAGUGUGCAGAAGAAUCACAACUAAGAACCAGGACAUUCCUCCUCUUGUGGAAUCUUGCCUUCUAGCUGGUGAUAUUCACCUGAUAAGCACAGUGUCAGUGAUAUGGUCUUAAUCUGUGCCCCUACCCAAAUCUCAUGUUGAAAUGUAAUCCCCAAUGCUGGAUGUGGGGCCUGAUAGGAGGUGAUUGGAUCCUAGGAGCAGUUUCUCAUGGUUUCACACCAUCCUCCUUGGGUGCUGUCCUUGUGACAAUGAGUUUUUAUCAGAUCUGGUGGUUUAUAAGUGGGCAGCACCUCCUCCCCACCCUCUCUUGCUUCUGCUCCAGUCAUGUAAGAUCUGUCUGUUUCUCUUUCACCUUCUGCCAUGAUUGUAAAUUUCCUGAGGCCUCCCUAGAGGCAGAAGUCACUAUGCUUCUUGUACAGCCUGCAGAACCAUGAGCCAAAUACAUCUCUUUUCUUUACAAAUUAUCCACCCUGUGAUAUUUCUUAUAGCAAUGGAAGAAAAGACCAAAACAUCAGACAUGCUCUUUUUUUUCAAGGUGAUCAAUUACAAAGCAGUUUAUUGCCUCUGCACAUGAACUAUCUCUGUUGGAAAACGCAUUAAGGCUGCUGUUUCCUAAGGCAGGCCUGCUUGCAACUCAUCUUUGAUGGGUCACGUGUGGACUCCCCAAACUAGGGGUUCUGGAUGUGUGAAGACCUUCCCAGUCUGAUAUUACUGAGAGGUGGAAGACUGGAGGAAGAAGAAAGGCUGAUGGAAGAGGUCACCAGCCAUCAAUUCAACCAUGAAUCUGCUAGUCCCACAAGCUUGGCCCCAGAGAGGCAAAUUGGGAAAAUGUGGCUGAAAAAUAUGGUGUAUAUAAAAGGAUCCAUAUGUCUCAUAUGUGCUUUCAGCUGAAAGGCACCUUCUAAUGUCCACGUACCUUCCUGUUGAUAGGAAAAGAUGCAGUAUUCCACAUAAGUAACCACAAAAUGUUCCAGACAGUUGAAUUAGGACCUUGUUUUCUCUUUUUUAAAAGGGUUGUCCUUAAGGCAGUAUAGGUUCCAAACGUUCUGUACAAAUCCAGUGACUCUGAUAAUAUGUGGCAAAAUACAACUGAGAAAUGGCCUGGAGGCUCGUGUUUGGAGAACCCAGCAGAGACAGCAUAGCCAGGCCCAAUAGUGCAUUUGGAUCCUUGCCUCAGAACAGUUAGUGGAAGUGUGUGCACCAUCUACCAAAACCAGGGUGACCUUGGGUUCUCCCACUCCAGUUCCUUCCUUUGUUGUCACAGCCAAGUCAAAUCAAUGACACUAAUUUCUGCUUCUAAACUUUCUACAAGUUACAUGAUCUCUCAGGCCAGGACAAACUAUUGAGUUAAUGUGUCAGCAGCAUUGGCCCCCAGGAAAGAUCUAGGCAAGUGUCUGGUACCAUGUCAAGGCAGAAGCUGGGCUGGGCAAACUGUUGCGUUUCUUUCUAGCUUCCCUCUGUUUGGUAGAGUAAUGCUGCUUUAGUUUUCAAUGAAGAGGCUAACAGAAAAGCCAGUCAUCUAUUGCACAUAAUUGUAUAGGCCUAAGAAGGACAUGGUCUACACUAUAGCUUCUGAAUACUGGGCUGUACCGGCAUCGUGUAAGUCUCAGGUACUAUCUGCCUGACUGCCAGAUCUGAAGUGACAGCCCCACAACAUGGCCAACCACACACAGAUGACACUGAUGGUGCCCCUGUGUCCAAGCUUGAAGCAGAUGAGAUGCCAAAAUGUUUGCCCUUCAAGUGACCUCCACUAGGGGGACAGGAACCAUGAAUAUCUAUUUGGAGUUCUACCUGAGGGGUGAGGAAUAUUUUCUCACUUCAUCUUGAUCCUACCUGGAUGCUUUUGCUAUCAUCACAGACUCACAGUCUUGUUUACUUCCUUGCCCUGAGAGUUAAGGAUAACCUGCUAAGCAGAUUUAUUUGAAAUGGGGGUAUUGAAAUAAACUCUUGAGAAGGUAUUUUUAAAAAGACACAUGCAAUCUUGUCAUAGAGAUAUACAUUUGUGCAUUAGACUCAUAUUCCUGACAUUAUUCUGGAAAGGUGAGGUUAUUUUAUACAUAUUUAUUGUCACAAAUACUGAACUAAUAGCCCUCUUUUAUCACCCAGAAGGAACAUGUUGGAAAUAGUCUAUCUCCAAAAAAAAUCUGGCUUUAAAAAGGAUGAAUUUAAGCCAUGUCAAUUCAUGUUAAAAUGCCAGUAGAUGGAAACUAUGUUACCCCAACUCACCAAAUUGCUAAACUUUCUGUGAAAGAAUUAAAACGAGGUUUGUAUUUUC